rnacentral:misc_RNA from 1 species
GAUGAAGAACGCAGCGAAAUGCGAUAAGUAGUGUGAAUUGCAGAAUUCCGUGAAUCAUCGAAUCUUUGAACGCACAUUGCGCCUUCCGGUAUUCCGGAAGGCAUGCCUGUUCGAGAGUCAUUAACAACCGUUUCGAUCCCUUUCUUUCAGAAAUUACAAAGAGGAAAAGGGUUUGGUUAUGGUGGAGGAGGGAAAGGGAGCGUUUAGCCUGUAAAAAAAGAGGCUGUGUUCCGCCUCCCCCCCAAAAUUGUACAGGCGGUCGUGUGCGCCCACGCAUCGAGGUGUUGUAAAAGCUGCCACGGCACUUUUCACCUGUGCAGUGCGAGAUUGGCCAGCCGGUUUAAAAACCCCUCCAAACAAUCAAAGGUUGACCUCGGAUCAGGUAGGGAUACCCGCUGAACUUAAGCAUAUCAAUAAGCGGAGGA